GGUUCGAUUCUGGCUCAGAUUGAACGCUGGCGGGAUGUUUACACAUGCAAGUCGAACGGCAGCACGGACUUCGGUCUGGUGGCGAGUGGCGAACGGGUGAGUAAUGUAUCGGAACGUGCCUAGUAGCGGGGAUAACUACGCGAAAGCGUAGCUAAUACCGCAUACGCCCUUCGGGAAAGCGGGGACCUUCGGGCCUCGCACUAUUAGAGCGGCCGAUAUCGGAUUAGCUAGUUGCGGGGUAACGGCUCACCAAGGCGACGAUCCGUAGCUGGUUUGAGAGGACGUGACCAGCCACACUGGGACUGAGACACCGCCCAGACUCCUACGGGCAGCAGUGGGGAAUUUUGGACAAUGGGGGAAAACCCCGAUCCAGCCAUCCCGCGUGUGCGAUGAAGGCCUUCGGGUUGUAAAGAAUUUUUGGCAGGAAAGAAACGGCACGGGAUAAUACCCUCGUGCAACUGACGGUACUGCACAAGCACCUCGGCUAACUACGUGCCAGCAGCCGCGGUAAUACGAAAAGCGUUAAUCGACUACUGGGCGGAAGUGCGCAGGCGGUUCGGAAAGAAAGAUGUGAAACUUUCAGAGCUUAACUUUGGAACUGCAUUUUUAACUACCGAGCUAGAGUGUGUCAGGAGGGAGGUGGAAUUCCCGCGUGUAGCAGUGAAAUGCAGAUAUGCGAGGAACACCGAUGGCGAAGGCAGCCUCCUGGGAUAACACUGACGCUCAUGCACGAAAGCGUGGGGAGCAAACAGGAUUAGACACUUCUGGUAGUCCACGCCCUAAACGAUGUCAACUAGCUGUUGGGGCCUUCGGGCCUGGUAGCGCAGCGCCACUGCGAAGUUGGACCGCCCGGGGAGUACGGUCGCAAGAUUAAAACUCAAAGGAAUUGACGGGGACCUGCACGCCGGUGGAUGAUGUGGAUUAAUUCGAUGCAACGCGAAAAACCUUACCUACCCUUGACAUGUCUGGAAUCCCGAAGAGAUUUGGGAGUGCUCGCAGAACCGGAACACAGGUGUUGCAUGGCUGUCGUCAGCUCGUGUCGUGAGAUGUUGGGUUAAGUCCUGCAACGAGCGCAACCCUUGUCAUUAGUUGCUACGAAAGGGCACCCUAAUGAGACUGCCGGUGACAAACCGAGUGAAGUGCAUGACGUCAAGUCCUCAUGGGCCUCUUAUGGGUAGGGCUUCACGUCAUACAAUGGUCGGGACAGAGGGUCGCCAACCCGCGAGGGGGAGCCAAUCCCAGAAACCCGAUCGUAGUCCGGAUCGCAGUCUGCAACUCGACUGCGUGGAAGUCGAAUCUGCUAGUAAUCGCGGAUCAGCAUGUCGCGGUGAAUACGUUCCCGGGUCUUGUACACACCGCCCGUCACACCAUGGGAGUGGGUUUUACCAGAAGUAGUUAGCCUUAACCGUAAGGAGGGCGAUUACCACGGUAGGAUCUAUGACUGGGGUGAAGUCGUAACAAGGUAG
rnacentral:rRNA from 1 species